GCCGAGCAGGCGGGAAGCAGCGGGCGGACUGCAACUACAGCUCCCGUGGUGCUGCGCGGCAGCGCGCUGGGCGGUUGCUGUGGUGACAGUCCUGCGGGCGCGGGCGGAGGUGUCAUGGCCGCACGGCGGUGCAGGAGGCCCUGCGCGCUUCCCCCCCUUUUGGCGGCGGCUCGCGGUGCCCCUCAAGGCGACUCGGCCUCGAAGGCUCAGCCCGGCGUGGGGGGCGGCAGCGAAUCCCAGUGUCUUGGCGGUUCCCUUAUACGAGAGGUGUAGGAAACCCGGUGCCUGCCGUAUUAAUUAAUGCGUGUGGUCAUUAAUCUUCAGUCCAAAGGGCUCCAAUCUUUCACUUUACAGGCAAGUGCUUUUCUUUCCCAGGAUGAGGGCCAAAUAUCACCACUAGCAGACAGCCGAAUUUCCAGGCAGGCUUACAGCUGGCAGCUGCAGGUGCCCACUGCUGUUAUUGGCAGCCCCAGGCACACACACGUGAGUGAGUAGAGGGAGCGAGCCAGCUGGGUGUCCUUUGUCAAUGAUGAGACCACUCAGAGCUAAAAGCACUAUUUAUAGCAGCUAUGCUUAGUGCUGUACUUAAUAAAGUGUGGAAUAGUCCCAGUUUUCUCCAUAAAACAAGCUGAGUACUGGGGAUGGUGGUGCCUUGUAUUUUUUUAAUAAUCUCCUCAUGGGUUAACUCCUUCAUGUAUUUCCCUUGGUGAUCACAAAAAUGACCUAAAAUGUUUUGUGCAGUUUUCCGAAGUCUUUGGAAUGUGUUCAUCCUUCUCUCAAAUGCUGUGGCUUGCUGCACCAGCCAGGUGCAAAUUUACAUAAUAAGAAACAAAUUUCUUUUUCAGCUUACAAUCACAUCCAAAUUUUCAUGCUAAUUUAGAAAAAAUUACAGAAUUGCAACGGUUGGGAGAGACCUCGAGAUCGUCAAGUCCAACCCCCUUACUAAAGCGGUUACCCUACAACAGGUCACACAGCCUCAUAAGGACAGAAACAAGAAUAUCUUUCAAGAGGCUGUGUGUUACAUUACUGUAUGGGAACUGCUGAGUCAUGGCCUGAACCACUGAUUGAUCACCUGUGAAAAGGACUGGAUCAGCCCUGGGAGCACAGGGUUUCCAAGAAGGCAAUGUAAAGGAUAUCCAACGUCAACAAGUGCUUUUGUUGCCAAUGCCUACUGCAGAGGAGGGUGAGGAGGCUGCCAAGAAGAGUUUCAGAAUGGAUGAAAGCCCUACACCAAACAAAGGUCUAAAGGCUGUGGUCGAGAGCAGGCAUGGACUGACCAACUAUCCACCAUUUUUGCCUCCAAAUAUUUUCCAAGUUUUAACCCUUCAUGAGAGGCUGUUCUUGUCUUGCUCAGGUGAUGUGUCUCACCUGGAAGCUGUCCUGAAAGGAUGAGAAAUCUUGUCAUUCUUUCUUCCUACGCUGAACUAACAAUCAAGACACGUGAGCUUUGCAUGUUACAUGCUUUACUUUAGGGUCUCUUGGUUCUCUGGUACUGGUAUCACUAGUACUGACUUCUGACUUACCUGGAUCAUGAAAAGCUUCCUUUUGAUUUACUGAGCACAAAAAUCUAAAAAUAAAAUCCUGUUUCCUCAACUAGUGAUAGCCAGCGUUGGACUUCGCAAUUCAGAAAACUUCAUGGAAUGGUUAUAGGUGCAAAUAUUUUCUGAAGACAAUUUCAUCUGCUAUAUGUAAAGCUUUGAUUUAACCAAAAAUAUCAAAUAUUUCAAAUGAAAUAACAGGCUCCUGUUUUUCUAAAUCCUUGCAACAAAACUAAAUGUACCACUACAACAGUUCUUACAUUUCAGAUUUCACACACAUGGUCUCAAAGUCCACUUCUGAGCAUCAUUUAUUUCCCUGCUAUUUCAGUGUACUGAUGAUCUCCGAGACACUGUCUCACAAUUUGUGGUGUUGAAUUUUAUUUUUGUAUUAAUAAGCCAAGAAAGUUUUGAAUGUCAUUUGUCUAAUUUUCCAUGUAUGUUUUCUGCCUCGUUUGUAUCUAGUGCAAGCUUCCAAUUUAUUUGGGGUGAGGAAAAAAAAUAAAAACAUGGAAAAAGUUUGUUUUAAAUCAGUCUUAAAAUACCUCUUCUUCCUUCUCACUGUAUUCUGUUUAAGAGCCAUUUAAAAAACGUGGACUAAUGUGAGUAAUCAUCAUAAAUCUUUCUCUUUUCUUCCGUUUUUGGGGCAGUAUAGAAUGUAGCUCUUGUAUGAGUAGCUAAUUUACUUUCAGCACCAUCAGAGUGAGUUCAUAAACACUUCUUGAUUGUUCAGGUGUAACGUUCAGAUAAGAGCAGGUCUGUUGCAGUUCAGCAUCUUUCUGGCUAGAGUGACUUUUCAUGGAAAAUGGUGGUACUCUGAGAAGAAGGGAAUUUUUUUUUCUCUACUAGAUGUGAGAGUAAAAUAAUAAUGGUAUCAAUAAGAAGGUAGUAAGAAAAUUGGUAUUAGCUCUAGGUAUUUUCCAGCUAUAACAUCAUGAACCACCAUAGAAUUUUAUGUAAUGGUUAAAGAUUAUGUUAAAUUAUUUUAAUAAACAAAUUAAAUGAUACAUAAAACAUAGAACAACAGGUAUAAUUAAACUGUAUCAAAGACUUGAUGUUCACAGUCAGCUGGCUCAUGAACAUGCUGAGCUCAAAAAGCAAGGGAGAAUUCAUGAAAUUAAUACUUAUGCACAAAAUCCCUUGUAUCAUCCUUUUACAGAAUUAAUUGAUAACUUCUCACAAAGCAGACCAUUUAGAGUCUCCUGAUGUUCUGUUCUGUGACUAUCCUGUGGCUGUGACAGCUGAGAAGCACAGGUUCUCCCUGUUUUCUGGGUGCACGCUGCAUAUGCUGCAUUAUGACACACUGCAGAUGUGGUCACGUGGGCUUUGUGAAGCUGCUCUCCUGCCUUGGCUACACGGAGUGACUCAGAUAUUGUGAUGGUGCAUGCAACUGGUCUAGAUUUGCUUCAGUAGCAUUAGCACAUGUUAAUAAGACAUCUCAGCCCUGCUAGACAGUUACGAAAAGGCAGAGUAACAAAGGGUACAGGCUGAAUGAGGAGCAAAACCUUUAGCAGUUUUUGCUUUUUACAUCUAAUUGAUACAUAUUGCAAUACAUUUAUCAUUAUUCUCAUUAUUUGCCCCCUGCACUGCAGUACUUAAAAUACUGAGCUAUGGUUUUGUUUGGUGUCUCACCUUAUUUAUACUUUAAUCUUGUUUAAAAUCCUUGGGGAAAAAAAGAAUAAUCCAACAAAAUUAGAAUAUUCCUUGAAUUGCUGUCACAAUGCUAGAGAAAAAUACCUAAUAAUGGGAUAAACUACGUUCAGCAGUAGCAUAAAAAAUAGAUUAUUGCCUCAAGCACUGAAUACCAACUCCUUAGCUAGAGUGCACAGAGCAGUACUGCUGUAGUACUGCAAAGUAGUACAGGCUAAGCUCUGUCAAGUAACUGCAGCUGAGAAGCCAGCCUGGCUGAUUGCUCUGCCUGUUCUGUACGUGGACCAGAUGCACGCUGUUCAGCUCAUGAAUUAGAAGAGGCUGAACUCAGCCUUGAUUAUGUUCAUACCACUGUACAGAAAGAAUCAGAUAAACCAGUUAAAAAUUAUAAUAACACAAGAGAAACAACAGCAAAACCCGAGGGGCAAAAGACUUUUUCCUUAGGGAUUCAGUGAGAGAUACAACUCAAGCAAUUAAACAUUAAAAUAAAUAAUUCUACAGAAUACAUUAUUCUAUUAUUUAGAUGUGGUAAAAGAAAGUAAGUACAAAAGUUGAUGAAAGCACUAUCUCUUCUGCAAGUUUCUUGCUUAGCACGUUAAGUCAACUUGUGACCAAUAUUUUACUUUUGAACAUACAGAGGCAAGGCUUUUAUGUCCUAAGCAUAUAAGCAUACUCUUACAGCUUGGCAAGGCAGAAAAGGAUUUUGAAAGUACCUUAAUGUUGUGACAUGCAUGUCACAUAU
rnacentral:lncRNA from 1 species